GCGAUUUCUGAAUUCAAGAAACCAUUCGAAACCGAAACGUCAUUAAGAACUUAAUCAAUAUAGCGAUAUAAAUCUAACUCGCAAGCACUACAAUCGGCACUUUUAACACUUCUCCCCAACAUCCGUUAGUUCGUGUAGUUCAAGUGAUUGCCGGAUUUCAGUUGCAGCCACUCGAAAGACCCUCCCACUCUUCCUGUCUCAAUAACGCCUCACCGGAGAAACCCGGAAGUCGCUGGACGGACUCGAAGCCCGCCGGAGCCAAAUGGAGAUCGAAGAGAGUCUCCUCCUUCCUCGUUUUCGGAUAAUCGCUUUGCUCGUUCUCUUGGAUUUUCUCGAAUCUUUACUCGUGCGAUAAUUCAUGGGAUUCAUAUACGCAAUCAAUUUCGUGUAGUUCAAGUGAUUGCCGGAGUUCAGUCGCAGCCACCUGAAAGACCCUCCCACUCUUCCUGUCUCAAUAACGCCUCACCGAAGAAACCCGGAAGUCGCUGGACGGACUCGAAGCCCGCCGGAGCCAAACGGAGAUCGAAGAGAGUCUCCUCCUUCCACAUUUUCGGUUGAUAGCCACGUUGUUGAAGAAACAAGUUUAGGGUGGACUAGAAACUAACCUACAAAAUAAAUCAUGUUUGAAUAAUUGUUUCUUGUUUGAUAGAUUUGAAUGAUGUAUGAAAUUUUAGUAUUUUAUGAAAUUUGAUUU
rnacentral:lncRNA from 1 species